rnacentral:rRNA from 1 species
UUAAGUGGCCAAAUACAUUUUGGGGCCAUUCAUGCUUCACUCUGGCAUCUAAGCAGGGCUGAGCCUGGUCAGUACCUGGAUGGGAGACCUCCUGGGAAAACUAGGUUGCUGCUGGAA